GCGCGCGAGGGAGCUGAGCAGAGUGCUCAGGGGAAAGUACUCCCUUGCCAGCGCCACCUGACCACCCAGCAACCCCACUAGACCCCAGGGAGAGGGAGAACCCCCCCAGCAUUCCCAAAGGUAAGGAGGCUGGGGGGUUAAAUUAAAAAAAAAGAAAAGUGAGUGUGUUAAUGUGAGUGAGUGUCUGUUAGUGUGUGUGUGUGUGUCUGUUAGUGUGUGUGUGUUUCUGUUAGUGAGUGAGUGUGUGUGUGUCUGUUAGUGAGUGAGUGUGUGUGUCUGUUAGUGAGUGAGUGUCUGUCUAUUAGUGUGUGUCUGUGUUAGUGAGUGAGUGUGUCUGUUUGGGGGGCGUCUGAAUUUUGUCCUGCCUAGGGCAGCACAAAACCAGGAUACACCACUGGUCCUGGGCAGCACAGGGGGGGUGCAUCUUUAGACAUGGAUACUAGGACCAUGCAGAGAGCACUUCAGCUGUGAAUCUUGUAUGGCCCCAAAAGCUGGAUACUGGCCAUGCUGACCCACUGAUUUUCAUGGUGGCCCCUCUUUAUGGGCUUCGAGAAUAGAAGCCCCACAGUUAGUGUGUGUGUGUGUUAGUGAGUGAGUGAGUGUGUCUGUUUGGGGGGGCGUCUGAAUUUUGUCCUGCCUAGGGCAGCACAAAACCAGGAUACACCACUGGUCCUGGGCAGCACAGGGGGGGUGCAUCUUUAGACAUGGAUACUAGGACCAUGCAGAUAGCACUUCAGCUGUGAAUCUUGCAUGGCCCCAAAAGCUGGGUACUGGCCAUGCUGACCCACUGAUUUUCAUGGUGGCCCCUCUUUAUGGGCUUCGAGAAUAGAAGCCCCACAGUUAGUGUGUGUGUGUGUUAGUGAGUGAGUGAGUGUGUCUGUUUGGGGGGGCGUCUGAAUUUUGUCCUGCCUAGGGCAGCACAAAACCAGGAUACACCACUGGUCCUGGGCAGCACAGGGGGGGUGCAUCUUUAGACAUGGAUACUAGGACCAUGCAGAGAGCACUUCAGCUGUGAAUCUUGCAUGGCCCCAAAAGCUGGGUACUGGCCAUGCUGACCCAAUGAUUUUCAUGGUGGCCCCUCUUUAUGGGCUUCGAGAAUAGAAGCCGCACAGUCAUGUUAUCCCUUGCGGCCCUUCCCAUCUGUCCAAAUUUUACCCAAUGAAAUGUUGCUAGGUAUGUCCUGAGGAUAGCACGAAUGUGUCUAAUAAUGCGCUCAUGCUAUGCUUGUUAGGGAGAAUUCCCUGGUGUCCCAGGACCCUAAAAUCAGUACUGUUCCACUAAAAUCUGAACAAUUACUUGAAACGAGCCCUAAGAUUCUAUGGCUUACAUAAGAUUUUCAAUCACAUUUAUACAGUUAGUUUUUUUCAAUUACAAUUUUAAAAUGCAGUACAGAGUCAUGGGAAAUAAUAUAGUGGGACAAUAGGCCAAAAACCAUGACUGUUCCAUGAAUAUUAUGACAGCUGUCAAAUAUGUGCUUGUCUGUCAAGUGCUUAGUUUACUGGAACCUGAAGGCCUUUUUUUUUUUUCUCCUGCAAAGUUACACCAAACCUGCAAUUUACUAACUGGGAUAACUUUAAUUGUUCAGAGUUGGUGCCAAUUUUGUAGUGAAAACACUACAUGCAAUAAUUUAAAUACCUUUAAUAUCAUGGACAUAUUUAGAAAUAAUUGCCAAUAACAGCAGUGUUUUUUCAAAAUCGGCAUUUAGAUAACCACUAACAACUCACAAAUAAAGGAUGAAUCUACUUGAAUAUGGAUAAAGCUGCCAAAAUGAUUUUUCCUAUAAAUAAACUGUGAUAUAGCUGUUAUGCAUCAGCUAUGGGCUUUCCAAAUCUAGCAUUGAUUUAAAGGAACACUUCGAGCAUGGGUUUGUGGUUAUGGUACCAGGAGUGCACCACCCCCUUCCACCGCCCCUGCCCCCUUCCAGUUUAAGUUGUUAUAGCACAAGCUCUGAACCACUUAGCUCAGACAGAAAGGCUUGCAGCUCUCUGUAGGCAUAGUGGUGGCAGGGAGAAGCACAUAGUGGAUCUUAGGAAAUAAGAAUUAAAAAGUGGUUUGGCUACUUACAAAAAUAGAGCACCAUGGCAAUGUAUUUAUGGUGCUUGGAGAGUUACUUAAAUAUGUAUUUUUACCAAAACAGUGUUGGGAUAUGCAUUUCAUAGGGGUCCUUUAAUCAAAUCAUAAACCGGCAUACUUAGUAAGUUAUAACUUUAGCCAGAAAACGUUUAUGCUCUUCAAUACAUCUUUGCUCAAAGGAGUUUGCAAUAUACAAUAAAAUAUUUUUAGUUCUAAAGGGAUUAUUGUGUCCUCAAAAAAAAAUGUUGCUUGCUGUAUUUGAGCCACAUUGCAAUGUAGUGACAUUCUUACAUUUUGUGUGAUUACUUUGACUGAAGAUGUAAAAAUUAUUUUUUUCAUAUUGUCUUCCUGUUUUAUAUUGUUUGUGUUGGGAAUUUACUCAUGUAGACUUGUAUACCAUUGUUGUACUAAAAUAAAGUUUGCAC